rnacentral:rRNA from 1 species
UUGGGACUUGUCUAAACCUAAGGCGAAAUGAAAGUGAACGUCCGCCUCGCGCGGACACAGGGAGGAUGGGCGAGCCCUCGGGCCGCUCCGCACUCCCGGGGCGUCUCGUUCUCAUUGCGAGGGGAGGCGCACCCAGAGCGUACACGCUGGGACCCGAAAGAUGGUGAACUAUGCCUGGUCAGGACGAAGUCAGGGGAAACCCUGAUGGAGGUCCGUAGCGAUUCUGACGUGCAAAUCGAUCGUCGGAACUGGGUAUAGGGGCGAAAGACUAAUCGAACCAUCUAGUAGCUGGUUCCCUCCGAAGUUUCCCUCAGGGUGGCGGGCGCUCGCCGUGUGCGAGUCUCAUCCGGUAAAGCGAAUGAUUAGAGGCAUUGGGGUCGAAACGGCCUCAACCUAUUCUCAAACUUUAAAUGGGUGAGAUCUCCGGCUUGCUCGAACACAAGUGAAGCCGCGAGAUCGGAUCAGAGUGCCAAGUGGGCCACUUUUGGUAAGCAGAACUGGCGCUGUGGGAUGAACCAAACGCAGAGUUAAAGCGCCCAAAUCGACGCUUAUGGGAUACCAUGAAAGGCGUUGGUAACUUAAGACAGCAGGACGGUGGCCAU